rnacentral:rRNA from 1 species
UACGAAGGGGGCUAGCGUUGCUCGGAAUCACUGGGCGUAAAGGGUGCGUAGGCGGGUCUUUAAGUCAGGGGUGAAAUCCUGGAGCUCAACUCCAGAACUGCCUUUGAUACUGAAGAUCUUGAGUUCGGGAGAGGUGUGUGGAACUGCGAGUGUAGAGGUGAAAUUCGUAGAUAUUCGCAAGAACACCAGUGGCGAAGGCGGCUCACUGGCCCGAUACUGACGCUGAGGCAUGAAAGCGUGGGGAGCAAACAGG